rnacentral:rRNA from 1 species
AACGCGAAGAACCUUACCUACCCUUGACAUGCCAGGAAUCCCGAUGAAAGUUGGGAGUGCCCGAAAGGGAGCCAGAACACAGGUGCUGCAUGGCUGUCGUCAGCUCGUGUCGUGAGAUGUUGGGUUAAGUCCCGCGACGAGCGCAACCCUUGUCGUUAAUUGCCAUCAUUCAGUUGGGCACUUUAGCGAGACUGCCGGUGACAAACCGGAGGAAGGUGGGGAUGACGUCAAGUCCUCAUGGCCCUUAUGGGUAGGGCUUCACACGUCAUACAAUGGUCGGUACAGAGGGCUGCCAACCCGCGAGGGGGAGCCAAUCCCAGAAAGCCGAUCGUAGUCCGGAUUGGAGUCUGCAACUCGACUCCAUGAAGUCGGAAUCGCUAGUAAUCGUGGAUCAGCAUGUCACGGUGAAUACGUUCCCGGGUCUUGUACACACGC